rnacentral:rRNA from 1 species
UACGGAGGGUGCAAGCGUUAUCCGGAUUCACUGGGUUUAAAGGGUGCGUAGGUGGGAUGGUAAGUCAGUGGUGAAAUCUCCAAGCUUAACUUGGAAACUGCCGUUGAUACUAUCAUUCUUGAAUCUCGUGGAGGUAAGCGGAAUAUGUCAUGUAGCGGUGAAAUGCUUAGAUAUCGUCAAGAACACCGAUAGUGAAGACAGCUUACCAAGCUUCAACUGACGCUGAGGCACGAAAGUGUGGGGAUCAAACAGG